GCCAUCUCACCUGUACAGUAUCACUUGCAGCUGCUCUGACAACUAAUGCUGUUAGCGCCGUCGCCUUGGUUCUACGUCCUUGAUCAUCAACUACGGGUUUCAUUCUUCCUUGAAACUCUAAGUCUACACUAUUGUUCACUUGAAGGAGGAUGUAUUCACCAUAACCAUUAAAAGUGUAGAAUGUGCCAUCAAAUGUGGACAAGUGCGGAUCUCCCCUUGUAUCCGCUACAACAAAAUUGUAUUUAUUUCUAAAAGACUUCGUUUUGUCAAUUAUAUAUGAUUAAAUUGGUUGCAAU